UGUGACUAUCUUGACUACUGGGGAGGAGGCACCAUGUUGACGGUAACCAACGCGGCUCCAUCCGCGCCCAGUCCCUUCAUUCUCUUCACCUGCGAGGAUCAAGGCUCCAGUGGUUCGUUCACCUAUGGUUGUUUGGCGUUGGGCUAUUCCCCUGCGGGCGCCAGUGUUUCUUGGAAGAAAGAUGAUAUACAACUGGAGACCGGAGUGAAGGGCUACCCGGCAGUGUUCAAUAAGUUGGGAACUUACACCCGGAGCAGCGAGUUAACCAUCACCGAGGCGGCGGCAGCGGGAGGUGACAUCUUCUGCGUGGUUCAGCACAACCAGAACGAGUAUAAAGUGAAAGUACAACCACCAGACCGCGUGGUACAUCAUCCUACCGUCACCAUUACCAUAACUGCUCUUGAUGAAAUCAAGCGCAGCAGAAAAGCGAUCGCCGUGUGUUUGGUCAACGAUUUCACCCCAGCCAUAUUUACUGUGAACUGGCUGAAGAAUGGAAAGCCAUUGGAUUCUGGCAUCGUCACCUCUCCCGCCUUCCAGGUGAACGAUACCGGUAACUUCUCGGCGACCAGCCAGUUGACAUUCACAGCUGAAGAGUGGUUCGGAGAUUUCGUCUAUACCUGCCAAGUCAACCAUGAAAAAGAUUUGAAAAGCCAAAACAUCAGUAUGCCUUCAGAUGUUGAUUCCUGCGACAAACUGAUUAUUAAAAUCCUUCCACCACAAGUUGAACAAGAGUUAAUGGAGAUGACCGUGACGUUAACCUGUCUGGUAUCCGAUGCACCUUAUGGUAUCACAGUAUCUUGGAAACGUGGGAAUGUACCUUUGGUAUCAUACAUCCAGCCCACAGGAAAUGCAGAUAUCGUACAGAGCAAAGUCAACAUUUCGACUCAAGACUGGCUGAGUGGGGAUUAUUUUUCGAAUGCGCGGUGAGCCAUGGUAAUAUGCCAAAGCCAAAAACUGAACGAAUCAACUGGAAGAAAGGUCAACAUCUGCUGCCACCUUCCGUCUCAGUCCUUCUGCCGCCGACAGAAGAAAUCUCCGCCCACAAGACUAUCACCCUCACCUGCUUCGUGAGAGGAUUCUCCCCUCGCAGGGUCUUCGUCACGUGGACACUUGAUGACAAGCGGGUGGAUGAGAGCAAGUACAAGAACACCGAGGUGGAGGCGGAGAACGGCAAUGAUACCUUCUUCACAUACAGCCUGUUAUCCGUUGGGGCAGAGGAGUGGGCUAGCGGAGCCUCCUUCUCCUGUCUAGUGGGGCACGAAGCACUCCCCAUGAAGACCAUCGUCAGAACGGUCAAUAAGUCCAGCGGUAAACCCAGUUUUGUCAACGUUUCCCUUGUAUUAAUGGACACUGUCAAUUCCUGUCAAUGAGAAUGAAUUAGUUUCAAAUUCCUCUGAAAUAAAUGCUAAUAAAUAUCUUUAACCUCCAA